GCUCGGUGGUAUAGUGGUAGCACGCGUUCCCAGUAUGGAUGAAACACGGGUUCAACUCCCAUCUGAGGUCGCA